rnacentral:rRNA from 1 species
UACGGAGGGUGCAAGCGUUAUCCGGAUUCACUGGGUUUAAAGGGUGCGUAGGUGGUCCGUUAAGUCAGUUGUGAAAUCCCCGGGCUCAACCCGGGAACUGCUUCUGAUACUGGCGGACUUGAGGCCAGUAGGGGUCACUAGAACUGACGGUGGAGCGGUGAAAUGCGUAGAUAUCGUCAGGAAUGCCGGUGGUGAAGGCAAUCCCCUGGGCCUGCACUGACGCUCAUGCACGAAAGCGUGGGGAGCAAACAGG